UACGAAGGGGGCUAGCGUUGCUCGGAAUCACUGGGCGUAAAGCGCACGUAGGCGGAUUGCUAAGUCAGGGGUGAAAUCCUGGAGCUCAACUCCAGAACUGCCUUUGAUACUGGCGACCUUGAGUCCGGGAGAGGUGAGUGGAACUGCGAGUGUAGAGGUGAAAUUCGUAGAUAUUCGCAAGAACACCAGUGGCGAAGGCGGCUCACUGGCCCGGUACUGACGCUGAGGUGCGAAAGCGUGGGGAGCGAACAGGAUUA
rnacentral:rRNA from 1 species